UACGGAGGGAGCUAGCGUUGUUCGGAAUUACUGGGCGUAAAGCGCGCGUAGGCGGCUUUUUAAGUCAGAGGUGAAAUCCCGGGGCUCAACCCCGGAACUGCCUUUGAAACUGGAGAGCUAGAAUCUUGGAGAGGUCAGUGGAAUUCCGAGUGUAGAGGUGAAAUUCGUAGAUAUUCGGAAGAACACCAGUGGCGAAGGCGACUGACUGGACAAGCAUUGACGCUGAGGUGCGAAAGCGUGGGGAGCAAACAGG
rnacentral:rRNA from 1 species